rnacentral:lncRNA from 1 species
UCCUCAGCCAAAUACCCUUCGUCCUCAGCAAAAACCGCCGCCGCAUUUCAAUCUCUGCCGCAUUGUGACCGCCGCCCAAUCCUCCUCCAUUGUGACCACCGCCGCGUUUCAAUCUCCGACCGUCUCCAUCUCGGCAAUUGAAUCUCCGCCGCAUUAGAUUCUCCGCCUCCAACAGCGCGAUUUCGACCACCGCCGCACCUCCGACGACGCGAUUUCAACCGCCGCCUUUUGACGACGACUCUGGAGCAACAUUCGUUCGUUUCCAUAAUCUCCACCGUUCGUUUCCAUUCCUCAAACGCAAUUCUCGCUUCUUCGACCGUUGCUGCGCUACCAAUUCUCCGUCGGAACCGCCUUCAGAGGAUCAACUGCCUCCAUCUUCAGGUACUCAUCAUUUUUACUUUGUGGUUUCGAAAUUUAGUCUCUCUCGCACACCGCCAUAGUUGUAUACUGAACAAAGAAGACUGAUUGUACUCCUCUAUUCCAGAUCCUCUAUUCCAGAGAUCUCAGCUGAAAUUGGAGACAUUGCUACUCUAGAAAGUUUUUUAAUAUCAAUUAUUUGCUGUUAUCUGAAAUGUAGGAUUUUGGAAGAUAAUCUACUUGAAGGAAAUCUGCCAGAAAACCUUGGAAGUUUGAGUAAUUUGAG